rnacentral:rRNA from 1 species
UGGGGAAUAUUGGACAAUGGGGGCAACCCUGAUCCAGCAAUGCCGCGUGUGUGAAGAAGGCCUUCGGGUUGUAAAGCACUUUUAUCGGGAACGAAACAUUGUCGGCCAAUACCCGGCAAGACUGACGGUACCCGAGGAAUAAGCACCGGCUAACUCCGUGCCAGCAGCCGCGGUAAAACGUAGGAGGCAAGCGUUAUCCGGAGUUACUGGGCGUAAAGCGCAUGUAGGCGGUUGGGCAAGUGGCGUGUGAAAGCUCCCGGCUAAACUGGGAGACGACAGGUCAGACUGCCGAACUGGAGUCCGAUAGAGGAGCGUAGAAUUCCGGGUGUAGCGGUGAAAUGUGUAGAGAUCCGGAGGAAUACCAGUGGCGCAAGCGGCGCUCUGGGUCGGGACUGACGCUGAGAUGCGAAAGCGUGGGGAGCGAAC